CUUGAAAGCGAGGGGUGCCUUUAGGAACGCGGACACAGGUGGUGCAUGGCUGUCGAAAGGCAUAGUCGAUAGACAAUAGGUGAAUAUUCCUAUACUGCCCCUUGUUGGUCCCAAGGGACGGAGGAGGCUAGGUUAGCCGAAAGAUGGUUAUCGGUUCAAGAACAUAAGGUGUCCCUGCUUUGUCAGGGUAAGAAGGGGUAGAGAAAAUACCUCGAGGCAAUGUUCGAAUACCAAGCGCUAUGGCGCUGAAGUAACCCAUGCCAUACUCCCAGGAAAAGCUCGAACGACUUUGAGCAAGAGGGUACCUGUACCCGAAACCGACACAGGUGGGUAGGUAGAGAAUACCUAGG
rnacentral:ncRNA from 1 species